UCGGCGCCCCCUGCCGGCCGCGGAGGGCGCGCCUUGGAGGGAGAGGACUUUAGGUGACGCCGCCAGGAGGCGAAAUUUCACCUGCCAGCAGCUCUGGAGGUCAAAAGAAAUGAGACUGCUGGGCUAAGAUCAAGGUGUCAACAGGGCUGUAUUCCUUCCCGAGGCUCCAGGGGAGAAUCUGUUCUCUUGCCUUUCCCAGCUUCUAGAGGUUGCCUACAUUCCUUGGCUUGCGGCCCCUUCCUCCAUCUCCGGAAUCAGUAACGAAAGAUCCAAGGCCAUAUCCUGGCUGAGUUGGCUGAGUUGAGCAGGACACUUGACAAGGAGGCUGCUGAGCCUGCAACUCGAGUGUUCUGUUUGAGGAGCUCUGUGCUUUAUCAUAGAAAUGGAUCUGAGAUGGGGUCUCCCUAUGUUGCCCAGGCUCGUCUCAAAACCCUGGGCUCAAGCAUUCCUCCCAGCUUGGCCUCCUAAAGUACUGGGAUUAUAGGCGUGAACCACUGCGCCUGGCCUCAUGAUAUAACUUCUUAAUGUUAGUUUUUCCUUAAAGAGGGACUGUUUGC
rnacentral:antisense_RNA from 1 species